rnacentral:rRNA from 1 species
ACCGACACAGGUAGUCAAGAUGAGAAUUCUAAGGUGAGCGAGCGAACUCUCGUUAAGGAACUCGGCAAAAUGACCCCGUAACUUCGGGAGAAGGGGUGCUCUUUAGGGUUCACGCCCAGGAGAGCCGCAGUGAAUAGGCCCAAGCGACUGUUUAUCAAAAACACAGGUCUCUGCUAAACCGUAAGGUGAUGUAUAGGGGCUGACGCCUGCCCGGUGCUGGAAGGUUAAGAGGAGUGGUUAGCUUCUGCGAAGCUACGAAUCGAAGCCCCAGUAAACGGCGGCCGUAACUAUAACGGUCCUAAGGUAGCGAAAUUCCUUGUCGGGUAAGUUCCGACCCGCACGAAAGGCGUAACGAUUUGGGCACUGUCUCAACGAGAGACUCGGUGAAAUCAUAGUACCUGUGAAGAUGCAGGUUACCCGCGACAGGACGGAAAGACCCCGUGGAGCUUUACUGUAGUCUGAUAUUGAAAUUCGGUACAGCUUGUACAGGAUAGGUAGGAGCCUUAGAUACGUGAGCGCUAGCUUACGUGGAGGCGUUGGUGGGAUACUACCCUCGCUGUAUUGGAUUUCUAACCCGCACCAUUAAUCAUGGUGGGAGACAGUGUCAGAUGGACAGUUUGACUGGGGCGGUCGCCUCCUAAAGAGUAACGGAGGCGCUCAAAGGUUUCCUCAGAAUGGUUGGAAAUCAUUCAUAGAGUGUAAAGGCACAAGGAAGCUUGACUGCGAGACUUACAAGUCGAGCAGGGUCGAAAGACGGACUUAGUGAUCCGGUGGUUCCGCAUGGAAGGGCCAUCGCUCAACGGAUAAAAGCUACCCCGGGGAUAACAGGCUUAUCUCCCCCAAGAGUUCACAUCGACGGGGAGGUUUGGCACCUCGAUGUCGGCUCAUCGCAUCCUGGGGCUGUAGUCGGUCCCAAGGGUUGGGCUGUUCGCCCAUUAAAGCGGUACGCGAGCUGGGUUCAGAACGUCGUGAGACAGUUCGGUCCCUAUCCGUCGUGGGCGUAGGAAAUUUGAGAGGAGCUGUCCUUAGUACGAGAGGACCGGGAUGGACAUACCUCUGGUGUACCAGUUGUCGUGCCAACGGCAUCGCUGGGUAGCUAUGUAUGGACGGGAUAAGUGCUGAAAGCAUCUAAGCAUGAAGCCCCCCUCAAGAUGAGAUUUCCCAACUUCGGUUAUAAGAUCCCUCAAAGAUGAUGAGGUUAAUAGGUUCGAGGUGGAAGCAUAGCGAUAUGUGGAGCUGACGAAUACUAAUCGAUCGAAGACUUAAUCAAAUU